AGCAGCCGCGGUAAUUCCGGCUCCAAUAGCGUAUAUUAAAGUUGCUGCAGUUAAAAAGCUCGUAGUUGAAUUUCGGGACUAAUAUGUCGGUCGUGCCUCGGUACGUACUGGUAUUUUGGUUUCUCCCUUCUGACGAACCUUGGUGUCAUUAAUUUGGUGUCUUGGGGAAAUCAGGACUGUUACUUUGAAAAAAUUUAGAGUGUUUAAAGCAGGCUCACGCUUGAAUACAUUAGCAUGGAAUAAUGAAAUAGGACGUUUGAUUCUAUUUUGUUGGUUUCUAGGAUCGACGUAAUGAUUAAUAGGGAUAGUUGGGGGCAUUAGUAUUCAAUUGUCAGAGGUGAAAUUCUUGGAUUUAUUGAAGACUAACUACUGCGAAAGCAUUUGCCAAGGAUGUUUUCAUUAAUCAAGAACGAAAGUUAGGGGAUCGAAGACGAUCAGAUACCGUCGUAGUCUUAACCAUAAACUAUGCCGACUAGGGAUCGGAUGAUGUAAUUUUUUAAUGACUCAUUCGGCGCCUUAC
rnacentral:rRNA from 1 species